rnacentral:misc_RNA from 1 species
GGACAAUAUGAGAAAUUUUAUUUGCAGGGAAUAGCAUUGAACAGUUUCACAAACAGAUGCAGUAUAGACUAUAUAUAGUAGCCCUAUAAUGAUAGAACUAACUCAUCUAACCAAAAGUGACCUAAAAAUUUCUUCACAUAGCUCACUCCUGAAGAUCAACAAGUGUCCAGUAUCAGGAACUUCAUGGUAGCGAAUCCAUGGAAGCUUCUCUGAUAUGUAACGAUUUAUUUGAUAAGGAAUGAUUCUGUCCUCAUAACCUUGCCAAAUGUGGACUGAGCCUUCAUUGUUAGGGAAAGGAUUACUUAUGUCCAGGGGAUCAAAUUCCCAUUUCGCAUACCCUGCGAUUAUGUCCCGAUGCAGAGAUUCCUGAACACCUUGUUGCCGAACCUUUUCCAGACCAACACUUGGAGUUUCUGAUAACUUUUUAAUCAUCUCCAAAUCUUGGGGGCAAAAGAUUGCCAUAUUUCCUGAAUACUUAAUGAAGGGAACCAUUUCUGGGUCAUCCACCAGUAGAAUAACCAAGGUGCACGAUGUGCAAUUCGAAAUGUCCAUUGAUCACAUUUCUGAAGCCUUUGGAAGCCCUCUCUGGAUACAUUGGCCGGGAGACAAGGCCACCAGUAGUGUACAAAUGGAACUACAAGUGAAGCUCCAGCCAACCUCUGUGGUAUGUAUUUUAGGCAACCAUAUAUGGGGUAGGCUCCCAUUGAGACUCCAAUUAUGUAAAAUUUCGGUCCAAUCUGCAACUUGUCUGCUAGUUCUUGAAUAUCGUAUGCUUCACUCUUCACUGUACGCUUUGGAAAUGGAUCACUUUCUCCAUACCCUGCUCUAUCGAAGAAAAGGAAAUACAUGCUCAGCUCCUCAAUAAGUUCCUGAGACACAGGUAAAUUUAGAUCCUUCGAACUGUCAAAGCCAUGAAUGACUAUAAUUUUGUGCUUGGCUUCUUCCUUAGGAACUCCCAUCUCCCUGUAGGCCAAAUGCCUACCAUCACUGAGUUUGACUCUGGGUGAAGUGACUGGAGGACCACCGGGCGAUCCACAUAUCUUCGGAUGAGGAGGCUUCAGUGCCUGAUAAACCCAACCCAGAAGACCCGCAGAUACAGCUACUGCAAUCGGUGCAAGCAUUGUAAGGGAGUGGAGAAGAACUAGAUGAGACCUAGUGCGACUUCUUGCUGAUGUAGCUGACAUCUUCUUGGGUGAUCCACUUGCAUUUUCCACUUAAGAAAGAGCAAGUUUUAC